GAAGGUGGAUAUCCAAAGGAGGCUGUGACCCUGUGGGAGCCUUAAGAUGGAGCACGGUCCUACUGGAGACGUGCAGCCCAUGGAGAGGGAAGCCCAUGCUGGAGCAGGUUUUUUCCUGGGGACCAGGUCACAAAAUUAACUCCUCCUGGAACUGUUUGGUUAACAUCAACUGGCAGCCCAGAGAAACCAGUAUGAAUUAUCUUCAGAAGACUGCACUUCACCAAGAGCCUCUCAGUCUCAGGAAAAGUUCAGGGUUGUUAAUCAUCCAACUGUUUCCUUUGGUCUUCAAUUAUAUGCAUUAAUCAUAAAUUAAGUGAUACACUUAAAAGAAACGUCUCUAAUUCUGUUAUUACCUGCUGAGAUGUGGAAACACAGGAAAACACUGUUGUUGCCAAAAUGGUAAGAUCGUUAUAAGGCUCUUCAUGCUUUAAGGAACCCUCUACAUUCAAUGUUUAUAAAAAAAGAAAGAAAAGGACAGGCAAGACAUUAUAUCUAAUUACAAACCUAUGUUUGAAAACAUCUGAGUGAACUGACUUACUGAAAUAUGCCAGAAGAUAAUGUGGUCUAAGAAACAGUAAAUACAGCAGGGAUAGAUAUUCCCAAGUUUACUCACUUCUGU